rnacentral:misc_RNA from 1 species
UACGAAGGUGGCAAGCGUUACUCGGAAUUACUAGGCGUAAAGGGCAGGUAGGUGGUUCGAUAAGUCUGUUGUGAAAGCUCCCGGCUUAACUGGGGGAGGUCAACAGAAACUAUCGGACUUGAGUAUAGGAGAGGGUACUGGAAUUCCCGGUGUAGCGGUGAAAUGCGCAGAGAUCGGGAGGAACACCAAUGGCGAAAGCAGGUACCUGGACUAUUACUGACACUCAGCUGCGAAAGCUAGGGGAGCAAACAGG